rnacentral:rRNA from 1 species
GACGAACGCUGGCGGCGUGCCUAAUACAUGCAAGUCGAGCGAACUGAUUAGAAGCUUGCUUCUAUGACGUUAGCGGCGGACGGGUGAGUAACACGUGGGCAACCUGCCUGUAAGACUGGGAUAACUUCGGGAAACCGAAGCUAAUACCGGAUAGGAUCUUCUCCUUCAUGGGAGAUGAUUGAAAGAUGGUUUCGGCUAUCACUUACAGAUGGGCCCGCGGUGCAUUAGCUAGUUGGUGAGGUAACGGCUCACCAAGGCAACGAUGCAUAGCCGACCUGGGAGGGUGAUCGGCCACACUGGGACUGAGACACGGCCCAGACUCCGACGGGAGGCAGCAGUAGGGAAUCUUCCGCAAUGGACAAAAGUCUGACGGAGCAACGCCGCGUGAGUGAUGAAGGCUUUCGGGUCGUAAAACUCUGUUGUUAGGGAAGAACAAGUACAAGAGUAACUGCUUGUACCUUGACGGUACCUAACCAGAAAGCCACGGCUAACUACGUGCCAGCCGCCGCGGUAAUAC